AAGAGAUGCUGUUUUUAGGGCAGUUUAUUAAAGAAGACCUGACAUGGAUGACUUCCAAUGAGAAACGACUGCUAAUACUUAUAUAAAUUCAUUACAGAAGGACCCUACCAGACUAUAUUUGAAUACGGCAUACCCAUGAACCCAGUUUGGAGGAUAAGAGCUUACCAACUAGUUAUAAAUAUGCUGAGGUGAUGUAUUGCAAAAUAGCCAACAUACAACAAUAUGGAUGACCCUCUGUCUGGUCAACAGGAGUUUAAAUAUGGACGGGACAGUGAUGUGGCAGCUCUUCCCUGGCUCAUUCACCUCUUGCCUUCAUUUGUGAAAGGAAGAAAGACUGGAGAGGGUCAAUGUGCAACUGAAGCUACUGAUUGUGCUGUGUGAUGAGCAUCAAUCCAUGCUUUGAGGGGGAUGAAUCAGCACAGCCCUGCCUGCACUGCGUUGGGAACAGAAGUUGCAUCCAGAAUUUUUGCAUCAUUCUGGACCAAAAAGCCAUUCCCUCCAUGAUGAAGACCACUGAUGCAGCCUUCCACUACAUCAUGAGUAAAACAACUACAGAACUAAAUACCAGGUUGGAACGUAUUUAAGAAAAAUGAAACGUCUUUUGAAUUGAAAUGUCUGUUUUGUUAUGGAUAAAUCUUUAGUAUUGUGAAGGAUAAGCAUUUCUGCCUGCCAGUAAGGUAAUUGCAGUGUAUUUUAAUGUUCAAGUUUUGAGUAGGGUGGCUCAUUUUUUUUAAACUCUCAUUUGAUUUAUUAAAGACCUUAUAAUAAGUGGUUUUCAUGUCACUGCACUGUGGUAUAAGAUAACUUUCAUUAUUCCAUACUGUAUUCUGUUUCUAAUUGUAGCCGAGGUAUUUAAAUAAGCAGUGUUAAAUGCAAAGUGUUGUGUGUAUCAAUGUAAAUAUUAAAUGUGAUGUACUUUAAUAAAAAGAGGUUUUGCAAUAUUUCUUGUCAUUUGUCUUUUAUAGAAACAACCCAUUAGCAACAAAAGUGGCUAUUAAUCAGUAUUUUAACACUUAACAUUGUUGAAUUCACAUUACACCGGUGUUGACUUUAAAUUAGGAGUGUUAAUUUUUAACACUGUAUUUUUGUGCCAACACCAGUGUAGUGUGGAAACAACAAUGAAUAGUGUUGAACAAAGUGUCAAAUUUAACAAUAUUGAGUGUUAAAUUAACAUAUAAUGAGUGUUGUUAAAUUAACACUACACUUUUGACUAAAUUAACACAGUGUAGUGUGGACACAUAUACACACUUUUCCA